CGCGGUGGAAUUGGACUCACUUUUUUCGGACUUACCUCAGUUGGGAAUUAGCUGCAACCUUCAACAUGCCGUCCAAGCCUGCCCCCAUCAAGAAGGCGGCCAAGAAAGAACCGGCCAAGAAGGAGGAGAAGGCUCCAGAGCCAGCGCCCGCACCGGAGCCCGCACCGGAGCCCGCUCCCGCAGAGGCAGCCCCCGCAGAGGCAGCACCCGCAGAGGCGGCCCCAGCCCCCGCUGAGGGCGAGGCCGCACCUGCCGAGGAGGCCCCCGCGGCCCCGCCAGCUGAGGAGCCCAAACCCCCCACCCCUCCACCCGCUGAUGAGCCCACCAGCGUUCCAGUUGAGCUGUUUAUCGAGGACAAGAAUGACACGUCUGUGACCAUCAUCUGGAGCCAGCCGGAGAACGUCGGGCCGUCUGGCCUGGACGGAUACAACAUUGAAGUCUGCAAGGAUGGAACCGAGGACUGGAAAGCUGUCAACGAGGACUUGCAUAAGUCCUGCCGCUACGUCAUCAAGAACCAGAUCACCGGUGACCGCCUGAAGAUCCGCGUGGUGGCCCUGAACGCCGGCGGCCGCAGCCCCCCCUGCGCCCUGCCCGAGGCCAUCCUGGUGAAGGAGGUCGCUGAUCGCCCCAAGGUUCGUCUGCCUCGUUUCCUCAAGCAGAGAUACGUCACCCAAGUCGGAAACAAGGUCAACCUGACAGUCCCCUUCACAGGUAAACCCAAACCUGUGGUCACCUGGACAAAGGACGGACAGCCCCUGGACGCCAAGAGGGUGAACGUCCGCACCAGCGACAGAGACAGCAUCCUGUUCAUCCGCACGACCGAGAGAGACGACUCCGGCAUCUACGAGAUGUGCGUGAAGGUGGACGACUUCGAGGACAAGGCGUCGCUCAUCCUUCAGAUUGUCGAGCUGCCAGGACCUCCCGCCACCUUGAAGAUUAUUGAUACCUGGGGCUUCAACGCGGCCCUGGAGUGGACUCCACCUAAAGACAGUGGAAACACAGAUAUUAAAGGCUACAUGGUGCAGAAGGCCGACAAGAAGACUGGAGACUGGUUCACUGUGCUGGAACAUUACCACAGACUGAAUGCCACCAUCUCUGACCUCAUCAUGGGCAACACCUACAAGUUCAGAGUGUUUUCAGAAAACAAGUGUGGACUGAGCGAUAACGCUGCCCUUACAAAGGGGGAGGCCGUCAUCCUGAAGACAGGUAUCGACUACAAACCUCCCAACUACCAGGAGCACGACUUCACCGAGGCUCCCAAGUUCACCACGGCCCUGAGCGACAGAGCCACCACCGUGGGCUACAGCACCAAGCUGCUCUGCUCCGUCAGGGGAGAACCAAAGCCCAAGGUUCAAUGGAUGAAGAACCAGAUGAUUAUUGGAGAUGACCCUAAGUUCAGGCAGAUCUGCGUCCAGGGCAUCUGCUCUCUGGAGAUCCGCAAGCCCGGUAACUUUGACGGUGGCGUGUACAGCUGCAAAGCCAAGAACGAACACGGAGAGGCGACUGUCUGCUGCAAACUGGAGGUCAAACAGGCAGCGGUUGUGGAUGCACAGAAGAAAUAGGUCAACGUUCUCAUCAUUACAGGAGCAGAAGGAAUGAGGCCUUUGCAGCAUAAGGACGGUGCUGGAUUCCUGGCAGAACAUGUAUAUAUGGCUGGUGACCACGCUCCAUGAGGGUUGUUGCCUGUGACCUCUUGACAAGUGUUGCCCGAUGUUUGUUGUCGCUUUGUGCCUUUUCACUUUAUCAAGUCCACAUCCAUGUCCACUAUCAGCUCCCCCCCCCCUGGUUUCCCACCCCGUCAGUGCAACGAGGCGAGAGUAUCACAGCAUGAAUUCACUGUUCCUCAUUGGAGAUCUACAUAUAACAUCGACAUGUUUUUAUCAAUAAAUAAUUUAAUUUCUGG